AUACGGGAGGCAGCAGUGGGGAAUCUUGCGCAAUGGGCGAAAGCCUGACGCAGCGACGCCGCGUGAGUGAUGAAGGCCUUCGGGUUGUAAAGCUCUGUGGGGAGAGACGAAUAAGGGCCGGCUAAUACCCGGCUCGAUGACGGUAUCUCCUUAGCAAGCACCGGCUAACUCUGUGCCAGCAGCCGCGGUAAGACAGAGGGUGCAAACGUUGUUCGGAAUCACUGGGCGUAAAGCGCGUGUAGGCGGCUGCGCAAGUCGGGCGUGAAAUCCCGUGGCUCAACCACGGAAGUGCACCCGAAACUGCGUAGCUGGAGUCUCGGAGAGGAAGGUGGAAUGCUUGGUGUAGAGGUGAAAUUCGUAGAUAUCAAGCGGAACACCAGUGGCGAAGGCGGCCUUCUGGACGAUGACUGACGCUGAGACGCGAAAGCGUGGGGAGCAAACAGGAUUAGAUACCCUGGUAGC
rnacentral:rRNA from 1 species